AAUAUAUAUAUUUUUUUUUCAGAAAAAAUGUCCCAAAAAGCAUUAUACGCAGUUGUACAAUUUUUAAAUGAUCAAACCUUCUCAGAAGUUCCAACAAACUGGAUUAAUCGAGAUGAGAAAAAUAAUGACAUCAUUUGUUGGUGGCCUAACACGAAGAAUAUCAGUUCGCUAAUCGAAAAUCGAACUAAACCAGAUAUGAAAACAUGGUCAAUGUUUGACAUUACAGUGAUCAAAUAUUGUUCGUCACUUGCAUCUACACGAAAGUCAGCUGCAGAUUCUCAUUAUGAUACGACUGACGAGGAAAAAUUUGGACGAGGGCAAAGGACAUUAAACAAGAAUUAUAAUAAACAUAUUUUACAUGAGAUAGAGGAAAACGAUGAUGAUGAUGAUUUAGAUGACGAAGGAAAUAAUAAAGAAAAUGACGACAACAGCAAUGAAAGAAAUAAGAAGUCAAGUAAACACUUGAAACAGAGUAUUAACCGUCCUACUUCAAAUCCUAUGCCCACAUAUGAUCCUGAGAAAGCAGAAAACUCACGCCAAUCUGUUAAUACCUGCACCACAAAAAAAUCUACAUUUUUCUACUUCUACUAAAAAUUCUGAAACUGAAACUUUAGCAUCAUGUUCAAAGAUUCCAUCAGUACAAGAAGUCUACAACAUUCUGGAACAAAUAGAAAAAAACGUAGAUAAAAUCACACGAGAAAAUGUUAAGAUCAAUUUCGAGCUAACGAGUAUAUCAAAAAGAUUGGGUACAUUGGAAUCCUGUCGCCAUAAUAAUAUAGAACCUGCAGAAAACGAUAUGGCAAUGAUAAUUUCACUAUUGCCAAUUAAAACAGUGGAAUCCAUAAAAGAAUUUGAUGAUUUAAUUAAAUCAAAUGAGACUGCUGCAUCCCAAUUU